GAUGAACGCUGGCGGCGUGCCUAAUACAUGCAAGUCGAGCGAACAGACGAGGAGCUUGCUCCUCUGACGUUAGCGGCGGACGGGCGAGUAACACGUGGAUAACCUACCUAUAAGACUUGUAUAACUUCGGGAAACCGGAGCUAAUACCGGAUAAUAUAUUGAACCGCAUGGUUCAAUAGUGAAAGACGGUUUUGCUGUCACUUAUAGAUGGAUCCGCGCCGCAUUAGCUACUUGGUAAGGUAACGGCUUACCAAGGCAACGAUGCGUAUCCGAACAGAGAGGGUGAACGGACACACUGGAACUGAGACACGAUCCUGACACCUGCGGGAGGCAGCAGUAUGGAAUCUUACGCAAUGGGCGAAAGCCUGACGGCGCAACGCAGCGUGAGUAAUUAAGGUCUUCGGAUCGAAAAACUCUAUUAUUAGGGAAGAACAAAUGUGUAAGUAAAUAUGCACGUCUUGACGGUACCUAAUCAGAAAGCCACGAGUAACUACAUG
rnacentral:rRNA from 1 species